AAGUUGGAUUGGAAAUUCUAUAAUCCAACCACUUUCAAUCCUAAACUCUUCAGAGAUGACAAGAUCCAUUGGCUCCAGCACCACAUGUGUUCUGCUCAUUGCUCUCCUUCUCGUUGCUUCCAUGGAAAUGCCAGUGGUAGAAGGAGGAAGAGGAUGCAAGCAGGCGAGCAAGUCGAUGACCACCUGCACAGCCCACCCAGAGUGUGACAAAAAAUGCAAAGGAGAAAAAGCAAAGAUGGGACUUUGUCGUGGCCCAGAGGCAAAAAGUGCUGGUGCUACAUGUGUUAACAUGAAUGGGAAUUUCGUAUAACUUUCUCAAUAAUAAAAUAGUUCUAAAAAUUUUUUGAGAAAAAACAUAUAUAUAUAUAUAUAUAUCUCUCUACUUUAGACACAAGUGUGCUCAUGUAGUGGCGGACCUGUGUAGGUGCAAGGAGGUGCGCCCGCACCUCCAGUAGCCGGAAAACUCCAUUAGAGGUGCUGGCGUUACACCUCUACUUGAAACCCCAGACGCAUGCAACCUGUUUGACGAAACGCCUAAACUACUUGGGCGCUGCGCUGCAUGCAGCGCGCAAGCUUUUUUCUUUUUUAAAACAAAGUCUGGCCAAAACAACGUCGUUUUGGAUCAGACUUUAAAAAAGGCACUGUGUUUUUUGUUUUUUUUUAACCUAACCAAAAUGACGUCGUUUUGGACCAGGGUUUAGAAAAGAAAAAAAGGAAGGGGGGGAAAAAAAAGAAGAAACUGCUGGGCCAUUUUGUGGGCUUUUCAAAGGGCUUCUAUAAUUUCUUACUUAAUUGGGUUUUAAUUGGGAGUUCUCUUUAUUCAAUUGGGUUUUGGGAAUUCCUUAUUUAAGUGGAAUUGUGAAUUCUCUUUAGAAAAGACCAAUUUAACAUUAACCAA